UACGUAGGGUGCAAGCGUUGUCCGGAAUUAUUGGGCGUAAAGAGCUCGUAGGCGGUUUGUUGCGUCGGCUGUGAAAACCUGAGGCUCAACCUCAGGCCUGCAGUCGAUACGGGCAGACUAGAGGUAGGUAGGGGAGAAUGGAAUUCCCGGUGUAGCGGUGAAAUGCGCAGAUAUCGGGAGGAACACCGGUGGCGAAGGCGGCUACCUGGACCGGAACUGACGCUGAGGCGCGAAAGCGUGGGGAGCGAACAGG
rnacentral:rRNA from 1 species